AGCCUACUCUAGCUCGACCACACUAACCACAAACCCCCUAAAAACCCACUAUUAUCGUCAAACUAAAACAUUCUCUAAACUUAGUAUGGGCGAUAGAAAAGACUCUCGGCGCGAUAGAAGCUUGUACCGUAAGGGAAAGAUGAAAUAAAAAUGAAAAACUAAGCAAUAGACAGCAAAGAUAAACCCUUGUACCUCUUGCAUCAUGAUUUAGUAAGAACAAUCAAGCAAAAAGAACUUAAGCUUGUCCUCCCGAAACCCAAGCGAGCUACUUGCAAGCAGCUACUUAUCCAUUGAGCGCACCCGUCUCUGUUGCAAAAGAGUGGGAUGACUUGCUAGUAGAGGUGAGAAGCCAACCGAGCUGGGUGAUAGCUGGUUGCCUGUGAAACGAAUCUGAGUUCCCUCUUAGCCGGCCCCCCCCCGGACAUCAAACCCAACCCCCAUGUAGCAGCUAAGAACUACUUAAAGGAGGUACAGCUCCUUUAAAAAAGAACACAGUCUCCUCUAGAGGAUAACUUCCAACCUACCGUACUAGAAAAUGUAGGCCCUCAAGCAGCCACCAACAAAGAGUGCGUCAAAGCUCCAUACAUAAAAAUAUAAACACACUACGACUCCCUUACCCACCAACAGGCUAACCUAUCACAAUAGAAGAAUUAAUGCUAAAAUGAGUAACUAGGGGCCUCCCCCUCUCCAAGCGUAAGCUUACAUUACUACAUUAUUAACAAGCUACAACUAAUACCUCAACUACAACAAGACCAGAAUAUUACAUUACACCUUGUUACCCCAACUCAGGAGCGCCUAUUAGAACGGUUAAAAUCUGUAAAAGGAACUAGGCAAACUCAGGGCCCGACUGUUUACCAAAAACAUAGCCUUCAGCUAGCCAAGUAUUGAAGGUGAUGCCUGCCCAGUGACAUAACGUUUAACGGCCGCGGUAUCCUAACCGUGCGAAGGUAGCGCAAUCAAUUGUCCCAUAAAUCGAGACCUGUAUGAAUGGCUAAACGAGGUCCUAACUGUCUCUUGCAGAUAACCAGUGAAAUUGAUCUUCUUGUGCAAAAGCAAGAAUAAAUACAUAAGACGAGAAGACCCUGUGGAACUUCAAAAUCAGCGGCCACCUCACACUAAACCCAAAACCUAUCAGGCCCACCUAUCAACAAACACUGGCCCGCAUUUUUCGGUUGGGGCGACCUUGGAGUAAAACAGACCCUCCAAAAACAAGACCUUCCCUCUUGACCAAGAGCAACCCCUCAACGUGCUAACAGCAACCAGACCCAAUAUACUUGACCAAUGGACCAAGCUACCCCAGGGAUAACAGCGCAAUCUCCUCCAAGAGCCCACAUCGACGAGGAGGUUUACGACCUCGAUGUUGGAUCAGGACAUCCUAAUGGUGCAGCCGCUAUUAAGGGUUCGUUUGUUCAACGAUUAACAGUCCUACGUGAUCUGAGUUCAGACCGGAGCAAUCCAGGUCGGUUUCUAUCUAUGAUAAACUUUCCCUAGUACGAAAGGACCGGGAAAGCGGGGCCAAUACUACAAGCACGCCCCCCUUCAAGUAAUGAACCCAACUAAAUUACUAAAAAGUUACCCAACUCACUCCUAGAAAAGGAUUA
rnacentral:rRNA from 1 species